UGUUUUUGAAAAAUAACCCUAUCUAUUCUACAGUCUGCUUCAACUCUCUUCCAUGGCGACUCAUUUUUCCGCUUCUCUUUACUGCAGUUGAAAAAUUCACGUUACGGUCCGCUCUCUCUCUCGCAAGAUUCUCGGUUUCUCGGCCUCUUACAUUCCACUCUCUUGGCCAUCGCAGGCCUUCGAAAUCUUUGGUGCCCUGGGGGUAUAAAACCUUGAGGUAUGAUGAUAAGACGCCAUGCUGGUGUGGUAAAACCUAAUUUUUCCAUCAUAGUACCUAAGAUGCCUACUCUUAAAUGUUGUAAGUUCACAUUUACUACCACAUCAAUUUUCCAAACGCCUUCUAAUCGUGAUAGAAGAAGGGGUUUGAUUACCCGGCUCCAAUACUCUGAUGGUGAUAGAAGAACAGUAUCCAAAUCACUGCAUUCAACUAUUACAUCAAAGCCAUCCAGCACUAGAGUGGGUAGAAAAGAAGGAAGUGCUUCAUCAUUAUACAGUCACCCUAGCUUGGUGGAGAUGAAGAAUGUGAGGUUGGAAAAUCGUGCAAAGGUUUACGAGUUCUUAUGUGGAAUUGGUAUUGUUCCUGAUGAACUUGAUGGUUUGGAGCUUCCUGUAACAGUUGAUGUUAUGAAGGAACGAGUUGAUUUUCUUCUCAAAUUGGGACUUACAAUUGAAGAUAUAAAUAACUACCCACUUGUUCUUGGCUGCAGUGUUAAGAAAAAUAUGAUACCAGUGCUUGAUUAUCUUGGUAAAUUGGGUGUUAGGAAAUCUACUUUCACCGAGUUCUUAAGGAGGUAUCCACAAGUCCUCCAUGCUAGUGUUGUUGUUGACCUUGCUCCAGUAGUUAAGUAUCUUCAGGGCAUGGAUAUUAAGCCAAAUGAUAUCCCACACGUUCUUGAGAGAUAUCCAGAAGUACUGGGCUUCAAGCUUGAGGGAACCAUGAGCACUUCAGUGGCAUACUUGGUAGGAAUUGGAGUGGCAAGAAAAGAAAUUGGAGGGGUUUUGACCAAAUACCCUGACAUUUUAGGAAUGAGGGUUGCUCGUGUAAUCAAGCCUUUUGUUGAAUAUCUCGAAAGUUUGGGCAUUCCGAGAUUAGCAGUGGCUAGGUUAAUAGAGAAGCGACCACACAUUCUGGGUUUUGGAUUGGAAAAAAAGGUCAAACCCAAUAUCCAAAUGCUCUUGAAGUUUAAUGUAAGAGAAGAAUACCUUUCUUCUAUAGUAGCACAGUAUGCCGAGAUCAUAGGAAUGGACCUUGAAACUAAGCUUCUAAGUCAAAGGAAUUUACUGAAAUCGAUAAUUGAAUUGGAUGAUGAUAAUUUUGGCACUAUUAUCGGAAAGAUGCCACAAAUUGUUAGCCUUAGCAGUUCAGCUGUAAUCAACCAUGUGGAUUUCUUAAAGAGUUGUGGGUUUUCCUUGGUGCAAGUAAAGAACAUGGUUAUAGGUUGCCCCCAAUUGCUUGCUUUGAAUCUUGACAUAAUGAAACACAGCUUCCAGUUCUUCCAAAUGGAGAUGGGAAGGCCUCUUGAUGACUUGGUCACUUUUCCUGCAUUCUUUACUUAUGGUUUGGAGUCCACAAUAAAGCCCAGACAUAGGAAGGUUGUGCAGAAGGGAAUUACCUGCUCUCUUUCAUGGCUCCUCAAUUGCUCUGAUGAAAAGUUUGCGGAAAGGAUGACCUAUGACACCAUUGAUAUGGAGGAGAUGGAAACUGCACCAACAUUCGAUAUGAAUUCUCUUAUACAACCCCGGAAUGAUGAUUCAGAUUCCGACUAUGAAGAGGACAGUGAAGAGGAGACUUAACAGGUUAUUGACUUGGCUUCAAGAAACGGUCCAGACUGGAAGAUAGUGUCUAUUUCUGACAAUUGCGGGAUCUCAUUAGAGUUGGCGAAAAGUUUGGAAUAGGCUGGAUGGAAACAAGAGAAAAUGAGCCAACGAGGAACUUCUUGAUUCCAGCAGACACUAUUUAGGAAGAAGAGAGCAACUUGAAUGUUUGUUAAAGGCAGAAGAAUAAGAUACCAGAGAAAUGUAAGAGGAAGAGAAUUCUAAUUCUUGAAGGAUUGCAGGCUUAAAAGUGGCACUAGUUUACUUCGUGAUUUAAUAAAUUUUAGUUUUUGUAGUUUCGAGUUGGCAAAUUUAUGUAACGUACGUUUCAAUCGUGCAAGUGAAUGUAUUAUAGAACUUGGAUUUAUGCAACUUGUGUAAUUUUGUAACAGGAUUCUUGGUCGUGUUGGUAGAUCUUAUAGUUCAACUU